AGGUGAUCUAUUUUAACACUAUUCACGUGCGUGUUUAUAACAGGUGAUAUUUUCACACUAUUCACGUGCGUGUUUAGAACAGGUGAUCUAUUUUAACACUAUUCACGUUCCUGUUUAUAACAGGUGAUCUAUUUUAACACUAUUCACGUUCCUGUUUAUAACAGGUGAUCUAUUUUAACACUAUUCACGUGCGUGUUUAUAACAGGUGAUCUAUUUUAACAGGUGUUUGGACACCUAGAGCCCCUUAGAACACAACAUAACACAAUGGAAUGAUCCAGAACAGUUUAUGUGCAAGAACUGGAACGUGCCACACGACUGACUCCGACAUACGGCGACCAUUUCUCUAUUCUUGCAUUAAAAGGUGCAUUCUUCUGAGGGAAAUUUGGAGUAUUUACAACCUACCACUACUUCACCAUUCCCUUUCACUAAAUCCUUCGUCUCAUUCAUGAAAAAUCACUUUGCAUUUCUACUUCAUCAAGCUGAUGUUGCGAUCCUCACCUCUCUCCCAGGUUCUGUGACUGGUUGCAGUCUCCGGCCGACACGAUGUGCGGGUAGAACUCCGCAGGGAACUCCAGCAGCAGGCGGUCGAUCAGGCACAGACGCCCCAGCAGGGCCUGCCAGUUGGUCGACUCCGUCUGGGAGCCCAAGAUGCAGUUCAGGACAUAGUCCACACCACCGAUGCCUAUGGACCCUGCACAGAGCAGAACAGCCAACACAAAUAAAAAAUCAGUUAGAUGGAGUUGGCUCAUUUCAAAAAGGUUUGUACAUUUCUAAUCUAUUUUCUAGUUUGUAAAGUUUUAAUAAAGGAAUGGCUUAACAGUGACACUAACCGCCAAUUGACUUGCCAUGCUUACGAAUUAAUACCUCAGAACGUGCGUUGUGUUCAAAACAAACAAGAGAAUGUGACUUUGUUUAACACAGGCCCCACACUGCAUAGAUGUGAAAGUUGAACUUUGAAAUGUGAGCUGGAGAGGUGGUUUGUGGGUCCUCUGUGGUUCUUAUGGACUGGACAGCUUCAGAGAAUUUGAAUGUUUGACUUUAAGUCCUGUGAGGCGAUUUGAGUCCUGUGAGGCGGUUUGAGUCCUGUGAGGCGGUUUGAGUCCUGUGAGGCGAUUUGAAGUCCUACCUGCUUUGAGGAUCUCUCUUCCCACCGCCAGCUCGCCCAUCUGACCCUUACACAGCUCCAGCAGGGUGGACACUGACAGCUGGCUGGUACGGCUGUGGAGACACACACACACACACACACACACACACACACACACACACACACACACACACACACACACACACACACACACACACAACAAUAAAUACACUUAAAACACCACUAAAAUCCCAUGAAAUAAGAUGUUUAAUUCGAGAGAUUGCUCUAAUACCAUAAUAAAUCAAUUGUACUUGAUCCCCACUUAUGGGGAAUUUGACAUACAAUAAAAAAAAAAAAUCACUUCCAAAGCUGUGUGUUCGCCUCAAAAGGAAGUUAGCGUUUUUUUUUGUAAUACAUGUUUUAUAGUUCCUGUGCAGCCACUCCACCACUAGGUGGCAGCAAAUUCCAGUAGUCACUUACAUAGGGCACCGUCUCAAUAUAUAACCCCUCACACAACGAUGGCCUAACUCUGACAACCGAUUAAUAAUCAGCUGUGUGUCUUAAAAAAAAAUCACACUCUUUUAAACAGGAUCUAUUUCCCACCAGACUUACAGAAGAGACUGGUUCCUUUUACAGAGAGGUUAGGAAAUGCAUUUGGGUUCAAACUAGGUGACAGUACCUGUUGGCGUCGGCACACUUGACCAGGAUGGUCUCCACCACGGGCCGGAGGAGCUGCUGCAGACGGCUGCGUUCGGCCAGGGAGUGGCAGGGGGUGUACACCAGCAUGGCCCGCAGGGUUUUCUGCCGAGAAACGCCAGAGGAGCAGACUUACUGACAUGUUUCAGAUUCAGGUUUCAUUCAGUGGCUUCCUUACCUUCUAGCGUCUUAUCUUCUACCUCACUCACUCACUCACUCAACUCUUAGGCAGGCAUAUCCAGACACACACACACACACACACACACACACACACACACACACACACACACACACACACACACACACACACACUCUGUCUCAGAGGAAACACAGGAGACGGCCCAUGUGGCUACAUCGCUCUGAGGCAGACAGGGUCAAAAGAUGUUCCCAACUUGUUCAUAAAAAUCUCUGUUUGAAGUCAAAAUAUUUAGCAUAGUCCAGAUAAGGAACACCUGAGGUAUGCAUUGUUUGGCUAAAUGUCUGGGGUGCCGUGAUAAUAAAAAAAGUCCCUUAGAAGCCGAAUACUGCAGACACAGAGGAGUCUAUUUGCAACUGAUAGUAAAGGGGAAAUGCUGAGCCUGGCCCGUGUGUGUAACACAACUCCCAUGGGGCAGAGAGGAAGGGAUGCACUUUUGACCCCAGAGUGUUACGACCCCCACGGUCGCCCUAAGAAUGAACCCAAGGCCAGCUGACCACCAGUGCACUUGCCUGAGUGGGAUCUCACAUUGAAACUGUGUGUGUUUCAGUGUGUGUGUGUGUGGCUUAAAAAGGUUUCAACCGUAAGAGUUAACUCUGUUAAGAUGGAGAUCAAGCUAAAUUGUUACCAAAGGGGUGAUUGUUCAAAAGAAUAGAGAGGUGAACAAACAAAAAGAACUGUUGAGAAGAAAAGUACGAUCCACAAA
ensembl:lncRNA